rnacentral:rRNA from 1 species
GACGAACGCUGGCGGCGUGCUUAACACAUGCAAGUCGAACGGAAAGGCUCCAGCUUGCUGGAGUACUCGAGUGGCGAACGGGUGAGUAACACGUGGGUAAUCUGCCCUGCACUCUGGGAUAAGCCUGGGAAACUGGGUCUAAUACUGGAUAUGACCUUUCUCCUUAUGGGGUUUGGUGGAAAGUUUUUCGGUGUAGGAUGAGCCCGCGGCCUAUCAGCUUGUUGGUGGGGUGAUGGCCUACCAAGGCGACGACGGGUAGCCGGCCUGAGAGGGUGAUCGGCCACAUUGGGACUGAGAUACGGCCCAGACUCCUACGGGAGGCAACAGUGGGGAAUAUUGCACAAUGGGCGGAAGCCUGAUGCAGCGACGCCGCGUGAGGGAUGACGGCCUUCGGGUUGUAAACCUCUUUCAGCAGGGACGAAGCGUAAGUGACGGUACCUGCAGAAGAAGCACCGGCUAACUAUGUG